rnacentral:tRNA from 1 species
AGGGAGGGCGGAACCAUUCGGUUUAGUGAGGGGGACGGAGGGGAAUAACGCGCCACGAGGGCACAGCCCCGCCUCCGGCACCCGAAACCAGCCCCAAAGGCGUCUUUCGAUGCCCUCGUCGCGCAGCUUGGCCGCCCCCCACCGCUAAAUUCGCCCCCCGCGAUGGCGGGCGGUGGUUUAGCCCAGCAGGCCGAGGUUGCUGAGGGAAGCGGCGGGAGCUUUCUCCACAGCGCGUUGGUGAUUCCAAACCGGACUCGGAGCGCGUCUCACAGGGAAAUCGGCCCCGCUCGGCGGUGUUUUGGCCGUCCGGGCCAUGGCGGUCAGCAGCCGAGGGUUUGCAGCACAGGGGGCCGUUAUUUCUGCCCCAGCUGGCGGCAGGGGAAACCGUGGGGCCCCGAGAGGUCGUGAGGGGGGUAAAUAAAGCCGGGGAAGAAAGGAAAAUAAAGUAAAAAUCAAAAAUGAAUUAGAAAAAAAUAUGUAGAUGAAGUAAAAACGAAGUGUUUCCGCCCGGGAUCGAACCGGGGACCUUUCGCGUGUGAGGCGAACGUGAUAACCGCUACACUACGGAAACCCGCCUGCUGGCACUUCUCCGGCAGCCGCCCAUGUUCGCCUCCUGUCAGCGCCUGUGGGGCCCUGAGGCUCUCCCGACGCCAAGCGGCUGCACCUCGCAGCGAGCCCCAAAAGCCAAACCGUCCCCAGGCAAAGAGGAACAUCUGUUAGGAUUCGGUGAAGCUCCUGUAACGCACAGCGGGCCAAACUCUGCGCCCAUCGCCUGUGUCUCUCCAAGCUGUACAAGAGGACGGGGCAGAGCAGGGCGACGUGACACCGGCAGCCACAGUGUAAUGACUUUCCCAUCACCGAAGCUUUGGAUCUCCCUUUCAGUCAGGCGAUCAGUGGAGAAAGGAGAGGAACAGACCAAACAGCCCCAGGGAGGAAGCUCUUGGAAGACUUCCCUGGAUGUCAUUCCCUUCUCUCUCUGA